CGGUUGAUCCUGCCGGAGGUCACUGCUAUCGGGGUUCGACUAAGCCAUGCGAGUCGAGAGGUGCAAGGCCUCGGCGUACUGCUCAGUAACACGUGGAUAAUCUACCCUGAGGAGAGGGAUAACCCCGGGAAACUGGGGAUAAUACCUCAUAGGUUACGGAGGCUGGAAUGCCCUGUAACCCAAAGCUCCGGCGCCUCAGGAUGAGUCUGCGGCCGAUUAGGUUGUUGUUGGGAUAACGGCCCAACAAGCCGAUAAUCGGUACGGGUUGUGGGAGCAAGAGCCCGGAGAUGGAUUCUGAGACAUGAAUCCAGGCCCUACGGGGCGCAGCAGGCGCGAAAACUUUACAAUGCGAGCAAUCGUGAUAAGGGAACCCCGAGUGCCUGUACACGCAGGCUGUUCAGAUGUCUAAAACACAUCUGGAGAAAGGGCCGGGCAAGACCGGUGCCAGCCGCCGCGGUAAUACCGGCGGCUCGAGUGGUGGCCACUAUUACUGGGCUUAAAGCGUCCGUAGCUGGGUUGUUAAGUCUCCUGAGAAAUCUGCCGGCUCAACCGUCAGGCGUUCAGGAGAUACUGGCAAUCUCGGGACUGGGGGAGGUGAGAGGUACUCCGGGGGUAGGAGUGAAAUCCUGUAGUCCUCGGGGGACCACCUGUGGCGAAGGCGUCUCACCAGAACAGCUCCGACAGUGAGGGACGAAAGCUGGGGGAGCAAACCGGAUUAGAUACCCGGGUAGUCCCAGCUGUAAACGAUGCGCGUUAGGUGUGUCGGUAACCACGAGUUACCGAGGUGCCGUAGGGAAACUGCUAAACGCGCNGNCUGGGAAGUACGGUCGCAAGGCUGAAACUUAAAGGNNUUGGCGG
rnacentral:rRNA from 1 species